UUGCCGUUAAAAAGCUCGUAGUCGAACUUCGGCGCCUGCCGGCCGGUCCGCCUUCUUGGUGUGUACUUGCUCUAUGGGACCUUACCUCCUGGUGAACGGCGAUGUCCUUUACUGGGUGUCGUCGCAAACCAGGACGUUUACUUUGAAAAAAUUAGAGUGUUCAAAGCAGGCCUUUGCUCGAAUACGUUAGCAUGGAAUAAUAAAAUAGGGCGUGCGUUUCUAUUUUGUUGGUUUCUAGAGACGCCGCAAUGAUUAACAGGAACAGUCGGGGGCAUCAGUAUUCCGUUGUCAGAGGUGAAAUUCUUGGAUUUACGGAAGACUAACUACUGCGAAAGCAUUUGCCAAGGAUGUUUUCAUUAAUCAGUGAACGAAAGUUAGGGGAUCGAAGACGAUCAGAUACCG
rnacentral:rRNA from 16 species